AGCUUUGUGCAGUGGCAGUAUCAUAGCCGAUGAGGUUUAUCCGAGGCGCAAUUAUUGCUAAUUAAAAACUUCCCAAUACCCCACCGUAACGACUUGCAAUAUAAUCGGCAUUGGCAAUUUUUGACAGUCUCUACAGAGA